rnacentral:lncRNA from 1 species
CUAGAGAAGAGAAGAAAGCCCUAAAACAAAAACCCUAAGAGGAGAAGAACCCAAGGAUAAAGUCAAGAAAACUUGACCUGAAGCUAAAGCGGGGCGAAGAAGAAACUCGGAGCUCCUAGUACUGUGGCAGCCUUUCAGUAGAACUUUUCGUUGCAGAGGAUAGUGACAAAUGCAAAGUAAAAGUCUGGUUGAAAGCGACUUUAUAUAUAUGACCCCUCAA